AAGAACAGAGGCAAGCCUCCAGCCAGGAGCUCAUGAAAUCGUGAACUGAGGCCUCAGUGUAAUAGCCCAUGAGGAACUGAAUUAUUUCAACAGCCAGUUGCGCUUCAAGCCAUACUUAAGACUGAUGAAUCCUCCUUUAUAAACACAGAUGUAGUAAACACUCACUGAGAAAAUGAGGUUGAUUCUGGAAGAUGGAAGUAUAAGAUCAGAUAGCCAGCAUCAUCAGGUACUCAUGAGGGCCGUCUUCCAGCUUGCAGACUGCCAACUUCUCAUUGUGUCC
rnacentral:antisense_RNA from 1 species